rnacentral:rRNA from 1 species
GGGCAUUCUCCUUACAGGUGGUUUUAUGAAAAUUUUUUGAAAUCAAAUUAAGAGUAAAAAUGCUCUUAUGGGGUCCUGGGACGAGAAGACCCUAGAAGCUUAAAAUUUAAAAAAUUUUUGGUUGGGGCGACUUUAAGAAGAUAUGGAUCUUUUUAAUGAAAUAGUAAAGGUUAAGUUACUCUAGGGAUAACAGCGAUAUUUAGUUUGAGAGUUCUUAUUUUAA